rnacentral:rRNA from 1 species
AUUGAACGCUGGCGGCAUGCCUUACACAUGCAAGUCGAACGGCAGCGCGGGGGCAACCCUGGUGGCGAGUGGCGAACGGGUGAGUAAUGCAUCGGAACGUGCCCAGUAGUGGGGGAUAACCCGGCGAAAGCCGGGCUAAUACCGCAUACGACCUACGGGUGAAAGCGGGGGACCGUAAGGCCUCGCGCUAUUGGAGCGGCCGAUGGCUGAUUAGCUAGUUGGCGGGGUAAAGGCCCACCAAGGCGACGAUCAGUAGCUGGUCUGAGAGGACGAUCAGCCACACUGGAACUGAGACACGGUCCAGACUCCUACGGGAGGCAGCAGUGGGGAAUUUUCCACAAUGGGCGAAAGCCUGAUGGAGCAACGCCGCGUGUGUGAUGAAGGUCUUCGGAUCGUAAAGCACUUUCGACCGGGACGAAAAACCUCUGGCUAAUAUCCAGGGGCCUGACGGUACCGGGAGAAGAAGCACCGGCUAACUCUGUGCCAGCCGCCGCCGUAAAAC